rnacentral:lncRNA from 1 species
UUGCCCUGUGUCUCUUGCAUGGUAACAAGCCAGCCUCAACUGCUUGAGCUAAGAGCAAGCUCAGUGUUUCCUUCAAGCAGCAUCGUGGACAGAUUCCUGCCAGACCCUUCAGAGCAAGCACCCCACACCCCUAGCCCAGGGUCUCUUCAUCGAUAGGGGGUGAUCUGUCUGCCCCUCACUGUUUUCUCCAAAUAGCAUCUCCAAAUGGACUAGACUCGACAAGCAAACAGUCUGCAGUGGACCCCUUGGGUCAUCCAUUCUGAUGGAAACAAUAAUGACAGUAAUUCGCAUCACUAACCUUCCCUGAAAGCUUACUACAUGUCAGGAAGUGCUAUUCUAAAAGGGCUUCACAUGUAUUCAUUCAUUUCAUCCUCCUGACAAUCCUGUGAUACAGGUGUUUUUGUUAUGAGUCCUAUUUCAACAAAGCACAAGUGAAUACAGAAAUAGAAUUCCAGCCCGGUGGAGUGGAGAAGGCUCCAGGAGGGCGUCGGGCCCAACCACCUUGCGUUAUGGAGCACAGAGAGGGAUUCUGCUGUGGUCACAUAGCACCUAAGUGGUUGCAGCAGCCUCAGAACAGGCUGUCCUGCCUGAGUCGUUCCUCGUGAUCACUGCUGGCGUUUCUCCUGCUGGCCUUCAUGGCAAGGCUGAUGGCCAGGGCACACAGGAGCAACGGCACUGCUGGUCUAGCAAGUACCACUCUCUGGCCUGCUCCACAGCCCGGCCACAGCAAGGGAGAGAUAAGAUCUCACUAUAUUGCCCUGGCUGGUCUCAAACUCCCGUGUUCAAGUCAUCUGCCUGCCUCGACCUCCUAAAGGGCAAGCGGGAUUACAGCCUUCUCCACAGCCCAGCCACAGUGAGGGAGUCAUCAGCACUGGAACCCGGGGUCCACGGCCUUGGAGGAUCCGGACCCUCCGCAUUUGAGGAACUUGGCCUUCAGUCAGGGAGCCAAGAAGUCCCUGCCAAUCAAGGAGGGGGUGUGGGCUGGUGGGGGGGGGGCAGCCUUGGGGCACGGGAGCUGAUAGACCAGACUCAAGAGUUCUACUCCUGACUUCUAGAUUGUUCCACCUCCAUAUGGAAUAUGUUCCUUCCAUCUAACACUGUGUGAUUUGGGGACCAUCCAACUCAAAUGAAAGAAGCCAAGCCAUGCAGCGAGCCACCCCCUCCCCAAUGUGGGGUACCCCCUGCCCCCGCCCAGCUCCCCUGCCCUCCCAGCUGAGGGGGGAUCGCCGCCUGGUGAUCUCAGCCUCCCCUCCAAGUGGGCUGUGAAGUGUCUAAUCCAGGCUUUCAUCUGGCAUCCACAAUUAUAAUGUCAAGAUUGAAUAAUCUGCCUUUAUCUCCCGGGUGACAGCCAUGUAGAAACUUCAAAAGAAACAGUUUUGCUGGCAUCUAACGGCUUUUGUUAAUUACUAUAUCCCAAAGAAAAUGAAAUAAAGGAGGGAGAAAAAUGAUAUUUCUCUGUGACAACUUUGUAAAAAUAUCAGUGAUGAAGUGGUGCGGUUUAAGGGCUUUAAGUAUUCAUGCGGCUGAGAUGGGGCCUCUACCCUCCCGCUGGGAAGCUUAAGCGUGCCCGAGGGUGCAUGCACACACACACUCACACACUC